rnacentral:rRNA from 1 species
AUGAACGCUGGCGGCGUGCCUCAUCCCUGCCAGUCGAGCGAACAGACGAGGAGCUUGCUCCUCUGACGUUAGCGGCGGACGGGUGAGUAACACGUGGAUAACCUACCUAUAAGACUGGGAUAACUUCGGGAAACCGGAGCUAAUACCGGAUAAUAUAUUGAACCGCAUGGUUCAAUAGUGAAAGACGGUUUUGCUGUCACUUAUAGAUGGAUCCGCGCCGCAUUAGCUAGUUGGUAAGGUAACGGCUUACCAAGGCGACGAUGCGUAGCCGACCUGAGAGGGUGAUCGGCCACACUGGAACUGAGACACGGUCCAGACUCCUACGGGAGGCAGCAGUAGGGAAUCUUCCGCAAUGGGCGAAAGCCUGACGGAGCAACGCCGCGUGAGUGAUGAAGGUCUUCGGAUCGUAAAACUCUGUUAUUAGGGAAGAACAAAUGUGUAAGUAACUAUGCACGUCUUGACGGUACCUAAUCAGAAAGCCACGGCUAACUACGUG